UUAGUUAUUCUAGGAGUAAGAGGGUUAGCUCUUCUUUUUCUGACCUUACAAAUACCUAGGAGGAUAUUGCCAUGGUAACCAGAGAUAUAAUAGGAUGAACAUUAAGGGAGCUACAUAAUGCAGCAACAUUCUUUUGGAACAUGAGAGGUAGUUUUAAUAAAGUUUAUCUAGCCAUCACAUAAUAUAAAGGUUACAUUAAAUAACCCCCACUACCAGUUCUAGCAAUGUCACAGUUUGGCACAGACAAAGAAGCUUUCUCCCCACUCCACAGAAAAGGAGAUGUGAGUUGAAUAGUACAUCUGAUGUGAAGCACUACUGUGCUUGCACAAAGGAAGAAACUUACGCUUUGUUGAGAAAAUAGCGGGACACUGUUUGCAUUUCAGCACCUGAAAAGGUUCCAAGCAGCUGUCUAAAUAGGUCAAAGAAUGGAAAAAGUAGGAACACAAAUGGAAACGUAAAACAGGGAAAACGCCAAGAUCUGGGGCUGAGCCACUCUUUCUUUUCUGAAAAUUAUUACCCACCAAUGUGUCUGGAAUUAUGAAACUGAAGCUAUCGGAAACCAUUCUAACUUCUCCCAAACCACUGGCGUUUCCUGCUGCACUUUCUUUUGCUCAUAUGUACUGGCUGGUGUCCACAAACAGUAUUUCAUGUUCUGUAAGACAUAAAAUUCUUUCAAGAUCUUGAAAAUUUUUGUGGGGAAGGUAGUUCCUUUCCUGCACAACUGUACCAAAUACCUGUCUACAAACUAUAGAGAGCUUGCUGGUAGCUGUGUACACAGCUAUAUCGCUUGUUACCUGGUGGAAAUGUCAUUAAUAAGAAAGACUUCUGACUACAGCAGUUUGGACAGAUGUUAACGAUAUGGCAAAUCACUCUUUCUCAGAAGACUGAAGUCCUUUCAUAUGAAUGACAUGAGCUAAAGGAGAGAUUCUGUAAACAGAGGCUAUUGCGCUGUUGUGCUUACCCAGAAAAAACUUUGGUUGAACAUUUUUAGAAACAUCAAAAAGCUCUUCCUGCUGUUUUCAAACAUCUACAGAUAUGCAUGAAGCCUGUUGGCAAUUUGAAAUGGGAAGAUAUACAGAGAGCUGGAGGUGGUUACACAGGAAAUUAGAAAAGCCAUGUGUCAUCAGAAUGAAAUAAAUGUGCCUUUGUAAGGGAAAGUAAUUGCAGGGGUGUGUCUGUUCUGUUGAU